AUUGACAAAUGAAGGCGACCGAGGUUACCUUGGUGAACAAGAAAACAGUUAGGGUCAGUUAGAGAGAAGAAGCUCAAGAACUCAGAAGUAGCAAGCUACAUCAUCUUUUUGUUGAUUCAUCUAUUGUGUCUCAAUCAAUUUGAAUAAAUUACUGCACUACACGAAUACUUUCUUCCAUAUUCUCUAAAGUGUCACUGGGUGUCAGUUGCUAGCGGAACAACCACGUGUGGUUGGUUAAUUUUCUAGGUUUUUCUUCGUCAUCCCCUGUGAUGCUGAUUGAAUAACGUGUGCUAUAUUUGUCCUGGUGACGUUUAAAACUGAGGAAAAUCAAAGACCACGUGUUGGUGCAUAAAACUUUAGUGUCUAAGAGUAGUGAUUUCUUCGAAGCCACUUCAUCUGAAAAACUUAUAACACCCUAAAUUAAGAAUAUGGAGGGAUUCAACGUGACGAUGGCAAUGACUAACUGUUUAAUUAAAGGUUUAAAAAAAUAAUUUCUAGACGCGAUGCUGUUUUUGCAAUUUAUGCAAGGUACGAGAUGAAUUAUUGAAGUCAUGAACGAUGGAACAAAGGAAAUUUCCAGAAUGUUUUAGUUUACUCAUGACAUAUGAGUGAUCAAAGAGAAUCUGAUGUGAAAGAGGUGAAACCAAAGGUCAGUAGAUUAGAAACUUUGAGUUUGAUUAGUUUGAAGUAUAUUUAAUGUUAACACAGUCUGUCAUAAAAAUUAGGUGACUGAUGUUAGAUAAGUAUUUUGUGUUUAAUAUUAUUCCAAGUACACUCCAUUAUUUAUACAAGAUUGGAAUCGUCUGUAAAACAAUUUAAAACAAAGUUGAAUUCAUUGUUUGGGGCCUUUUCUAGGACCCAUGUUCCCGUAUUUUGAAUCUCUUUUAUAGCCAGAAGUUUGUUGGUAGUAAAUCUAGCGAAUAUGGAGUGUGUUGUAAAACAAGGCUCUUUUUGGGACAUUCUGGGUCUAACAUAGAUAAUUAUCUUCAGCAAUCUGUCCUGGACCUCAAAUAACACUGACCUACAAUCGUUUGACCUUGAUGAAGUGGGAAAAAUGGAUUAAGUAUAAACACUUAGAAGGUUUAAAUUUCGUGAAUCAAAUAUUUAUAUAACUACUUAGUUCAGUUU